CUCUCUAUUCUGCAAGUGAAAUAAAACAAGAAUAUCCUAGAAAUACUUUUAGGGUGCGUUUGGUUCGCAUUAUGAAAGAUUACUAGGAAGGAAAAGAUGUCCGAGAAUCUUAUUCCUAUUCAUCAUAUUACUAAGAAUGUGGAAUUCCUGUGUUUGGUUCGCAUGGUCAUAUUAUUUAGCCAUGUUAUUUAAGAUUACAAAAAAUAUACAAUUAAUUAAUUUAUUUUUUAAAUUAAUUUUAGAUAAUCUACCAAAAAUUUCAACAUUUUUUUAGAAAAAAGGGAGAGAGAGCAUAGGUUAGAAAGAGAGAGCAUAAUUAAAAAAAUAGUAAGAGAAAUAGAGUCGAAAUUAGAGGGAGUGAGAGAGUUGAGAUUUUAGAAAAAGAGGGAGAGAGAAAGCUUAGUAAGAGAGAAAAAGAGUUAAAUUUUAGAGAGAAAGAUAAGUUUAGAGAGAGAUGUGAGAUUAUAGUAUGAAGAAAAAUAAUACCAAUUAGCCGACGGAUAGGGAGAAAGAAAGAGAUUAGACAUAUUAUGAUUACCCCAAUCCAUAUUAUAGGAUACCCACCCUUUCUCAAGAGAAUGAGAUUAGUACUUUGGGAUGAAUCUUAUUCCCAAGUAAAUCCAAUAUUACUAACUAGAUUACUUAGUGCGUUUAACCAAACACCGUCAUAUUUUUUUAUUCCUAUUGGAUUACUAGGAAUCUUUAAAAGAUAGCGCGAAUCAAACGCACCCUUAAACUAAAAUAACAGAGAAUAAUGAUGAUUGAAAAUAGUAGAAAAUCGUAAUCAUAGAACAUCAUUGUGGACGGCGUUUCGACUGCAUGCACAGUGAUCUCCAUCUCACUGGCAAAGUCAAGUUCCACAACGGAGUCCGGCGGCUCUACACAAUCCAUCUCCAGCAGCUCUAUAUGGACACAUUGUGUUGUUCAAAUAAUCACAUUCAAUUUAGAGCAUCUAAUGACUUAAUUAUGAAAUCAUUGAGGGAGCAUUAAUAUAAGCUUACACUAAUGAUAGAUGCUAACAUAAAUACAUAUUUAAAUAGAUCAGAAGUGGCAUGCGCAAAAUAUAGUGUAACAAUGUUUGCCUCGGUCAAGAGGCGAGAUUACUGUGAACAUGUUGAGACCUCCUAGCUAGAGAAUGAAGAUAUUACAACACUAUUUUUAUUUCAAGAGAGUCACUCAUAGGAAAUCACGAUAUUUUAUUUUUUUUUCUCGACAAACACACUUUCAUAUAAAUUAAUAUACGGUACUUUUCUGCUUCGAUAGUCCUUCGCACUAGGAUUUUCCUGUGAAAAAGGAGAAAGGUUUGAAUAAAUUGGAAUUAAGUACUAAACACUUCGAAAAGCAAUGUGGUAGUAUACCUGAAUAUACUUAUUCCAUGCAGCAUCUGUGGCAAUUACUACUUGAUGUUGAUGAUCCCACCUAAACUCCGGACGAUUCUUGAUUUUUCCCACUAUUCCAUAUUCACGUUUAUAAAUCUCGAAGCGAGCAUGCAAAUGUUUUUCUUCAUAUUUCAUGCCUGUUGCUUUAUUGAACUCGGUUACUAUAUCACGCCAGGAAUUAUUUUUAUAGUCUAGUAUUUUUCUCCCUCUUGAUUGAAUUUGCUUUACCAAUAAAUCAAGCAGUAUUAGAUCAUGCUUUUCUUCCCAUAUUACUGAAGGGCGAUACGUUAUUUUAAAGUAUCUCCAAAUUGGCUAUCGUACAAUUGUCACUUCCCCCCCACUCGCCGCGACCUCUUCGCCAGCCAAGGCGGCCGCCUUGUCCGUUGAAUAUUCUGCGGCCCCUCCCCUCGCCGCAUCCGCCUCUUUGGCCGGCGAACGGGUGUCCGUUGACGUCUCGGGUGGCGGGUCGUUUAAAUUUUCAAACCUCUCCGCUGUCCCCGCAUCCCUAGACAACGGUGACAUCAGGGCUGCAGACUGCCGCCUUCAGCUUUCACGCCCCCCUUUCGCCAGCUGUUUUGCUAACGCCUUUUUGGCCCCUGUACCCGCGAAGGGAAGCUUCGUAUCUCUAUCCCAGGGAUCCCUUCUGGCAGAAUUAGACAAAAGGAGCUCUGGGGGGAUUUUCUUCUCCCUCGGGAACCGGCGGAGUUUCUUCCUACGAUUCUCUACAUCCUUCUCGUUUUCUGUGCGGCCCCCCUCCAAACUAGUUGUCGGAUCUCUCGGAUCCCUCCUUCUGCAUGCUUCCUUCGGGUCGGAUGUGUGGUUCGGAUCCGCAAACCUUCUCUCCUGCCACCUGGGACCCAAUUGGACCCUUAUCCGGCGCCCUGGGCCAGACCUAAGCUCGGGCGGGCUUUCUGCGUCCACUAAUGCCCCAUGCUGGCUCCCACCCUCCUGGUGCUUGGGCUUGGGCCGCGGCUCGGGCCCGGGCUCGGCCACGGGCGGCCUGGACGCAGGCAUCGUAAUGGACUUGGGCGUGGGCUUCGGUGUCGACUUGGGUGCCGGGUCGGGUGCGGCCCUGCGCUCAGGCUCGGACGUGGGCUUGGAGGAGGGCUUCGACGAGGUCUUGUCUGCGGGCCUGGAACCGGACCGGGGCGAGGGCUUGGGUGCAGGCCCAGACGAGGAUUUGGAGACACGACUGGGCGCGAGCUCGGCCGACGACUUGGGCGCGGGAUCACCCACGGGCCUGGGCGCCUUUAAGGCUCCAAGCGACCUUGCGGGAGGUUUUGGACCGGUCGAGCUCGAGCGCCCUGAGGUGGCGCGCGGGGACAGCGGAGGCAGCGGAGGGGCGGCGUCGGAAGGCGGAGGCAGAGGAAGCGGUGGGGGUGAGGGUGUUCUUGGAGGCGGCGAAGAAGACGGAGAGAGGAGAAUGGGGGCUAUGGGUUUUACGGUUCGGGACGGAGGGGUGCGGGGUCUUGUAGUUGGAGACGUCGCGGAAGAUGUGGCCGCAGCCUGGGCCGUCGGGUCGGGCGUAGAGGGAGCAAGCUUCGCCAUGGGCAUGGGCGCAGACUGCGGCGCCGGGUCGGGCUCGGCCUUGGGAGCGGGCUCGGCCUCCAUCGUGGACUCGGGCGCAGAGUUUGGCGCCGGCUUGGGCGUGGCGUCGGGCUUCGAGGCGGGCCGGGGCGCGGCCUUGGCCGUGGGCUUGGGCGCAGACUUGGGCGCCGGCUUGGGCCAAGCCUUCAAGCCCAAGGGACCUUGCGGGCCGGGGCGCUUGGGGGCGGGCUCGGCCGACGGCCUAGGCGCGGGCUCGCCUGCGGGCCUGGGCACAGGCUUUCCAACCUGCAGCACCCACCUGGCCUUGAUUUCCACUUGCAGCCACCCUCCCAACUUGGACCGUCCCACCUCGGAUCCACCCAGAUCUAGCGGAAGAGUCCGCAGCCAGUUUCCUGGCUCUGUUUUACGCAAGGCCAUGCUCAGAAAGGCGCAACUACUCGAAGGCGACCCAGCUAUUCCCAGUCACUCUACGCGCAAAUGGUCCAAGAAAAAAGUUAAGGCGAAAGGUCUUCGCUGCGGGGUGGACCUUCAUGAAGAGGCCGUUAAGGACUUCCUUGAGUUCCUGAGUGGGAAGGCCUAGGAGCGGCUGGAGGAGCCGCGGGUGUUGUGUUUCGUGUGUCUUUCCUUUCUGAUGUUUAACAUUUUGUGUUGGAAUGUUCGGGGUCUCAACGACCCCUCUAAGCGCCGUUGUGUCAAGUCUGUUGUCUCCAGUCGUGUUCGUUCUGUCAUCUGUCUCCAAGAAUCUAAAGUGGAUAGUGUGUCUCGCUCUUUUCUUCGCUCUUGCUGCGGAUCUGCUUUUGAUAGAAGCCACUUUAUUCCUGCAUCUGGGGCUUCUGGUGGGCUCAUCACUUGUUGGAGCUCCAAAUUCUUCUCUUGUAGCGAGGUUAUCGUGAGAAAGCACUCUCUCACUCUCCAUCUAUCUUGUCUCAAGAGUAAAAAGCAUUUCUUCCUCACGAACGUCUACGGGCCAUCUACCUGGGACGGCAAGGAUGAAUUCUGUCUCGAGCUUCUCUCUUUACGCGGGGUUUGCACUUCCAACUGGGUGAUCUGCGGAGAUUUUAACUUUACCAAAAAUCAAUCUGAACGAAAGGGAAACCUCUGGAGCUCUAAGGCGAUGGCUAUGUUCUCUGAUCUGAUUUCCAACUUAGCGGUCAUAGAUCUCCCUCUGUCCAACCAAAGCUUCACUUGGUCGAACAUGCAACGCAGACCCACACUGGCAAAACUAGACAGGUUCCUCGUUUCAACUGAAUGGGACCAAUCUUUUCCUCACAGCAAGGUCAAAGCCCUCCCUAGGAUCACUUCCGAUCACGCACCGAUCAUCUUAUCCACCGAAGCGCAACUCAUACCCAGACGAUUCCGAUUCGAAAGGGUUUGGCUCACUAAAGAAGAUUUCCACUCGAAGGUGCCAAUCUGGUGGAAUGAAAUUGCUGACAAGAAUUCGGGUAUCCUCACAAUUACUGCCAAACUCAGACACUGACGAACCAGAAUUAAAGAAUGGUGUAAGACGAGUUUCUAUAGCAUAUCGCUCUCGAAGAAGAUUUUAGAGGACGAACUGCAUGACAUUGAUCUCUUAGAAGAACAACACGACCUCCCCCAAGAUCUAAUAGACAAGCGAGCCAAUCUCAAACGUCAUCUACUCUCUAUCUUGGGGGAGGAAGAAAUCCUUUGGAAAACUAGGGCCAAACAACAAUGGCUAAAGGAAGGCGACUCCAACACUAAAUUUUUUCAUGCAGUGGCUAACGGGCGAAAACGCUCCAACUCGAUUGAUGUGAUUGAAGACAACUACGGGAGAGAAAUCACCAACGAAGCUACCAAACGGUCAUUCUUCCUGCAAGCUUUUAAACAACGGUUUGGACAAGCAGACGACAGAGCGAUAUCUUAUGGGGAUUGGAGUAACCUUUACCUCUCUAAUAGACUGCACAAUGCUGACUCCCUUACGUCCCCCUUCACAAUCGAGGAAAUCAAAACCGCCACCUUCCAACUUGGAAGCGACAAGGCCCCGGGACCAGACGGCUUCCCCCUCUCCUUCUUCCAAACUUUCUGGGAGACUGUCAAAACGGAUAUUUUAAAAGUUUUCACUGACUUGCAAGAUAAUAAUCUCUUCACCGGCCCCUCAGACUACUCACUUCUUUGCCUAAUCCCGAAGAAAGAAGGAGCACGCAAGGCCAACGACUUUCGUCCAAUUAGCCUUAUCAAUAGCAUUCAAAAAAUCAUUUCCAAAGUCCUGGCUAACAGACUAGCCCCCACCCUGUCAUCUAUUAUCUCACCAACUCAAUCGGCUUUUCUCAAAGACCGGUUGCUGAUGGACUCGUUCGUAACAGCAAGUGAACUAAUUAACUGGUGUUCGAAGACUGGAAAGGAAUGUGUAUGCAUUAAAGCGGACUUUGAAAAGGCCUUUGACAACGUACGCUGGGACUUCCUGAAAAGCAUUUUGCACUGGCUUGGUUUCAACGACAAAUGGUGGGCAUGGGUUGAGCAGUGCAUCUGCAACGCCAAAGUAGCCAUUUUAGUCAACGACACCCCGACUGAUUGGUUUAAGAUGAGAAAGGGUCUUAGACAGGGCGACCCCCUCUCGCCCUACCUCUUUAUUUUGGUGGCUGACUGCUUAGCUAGAUUGACUGAUACUGCAAGGAAUAACAACCUUCUCCGUGGUAUUGGACCGUCCACUGAUUGUCAAACUACGCUGAUUCAAUACGCGGACGACACAAUUUUCUUCUCCGAGCCUAGAAAACACUUAAUGCGAAACCUACAGUUUAUUUGGUAUAUCUUCGAGUGGGCUUCAGGUCUGAAAAUCAACAUGGACAAAUCAGACCUGUAUUAUCUGGGCCCUAACCCCCAAAGAGCCAACAGACUUGCUAACAUCCUUGGAUGUAAAGUUGGGAAACUCCCGUUCCGCUACCUCGGUCUACCGCUUUAUAAUAAACACCUACGAACGGAAGAUUGGGCUCCGGUCAUUGAUCGCAUAUCAGCAAGAAUCGAGGGGUGGAAAGCCAAACUCCUAUCCUAUGGGGGUAGACUCACGCUCGUCAACUCGGUUCUCACUAACUUGCCGCUAUUUUAUUUCUCCAUCUACAAAGCGCCGCAAUGGGUUUUACACAGGAUCGAAUCACUUAGAAGAUCUUUCUUCUGGAAAGGCUGCGCUAGCAUCUCUGGAGGAGCCUGUCUUGUCAGUUGGAAGUCCAUCUGUAAAAGUAAGAAAGAAGGUGGGUUAGGGAUCAAAGAUUUGGAGGGAAUGAAUCUGGCGCUGCUAUCUAAAUGGUGGUGGCGCUUCUUCAACGAACCACAAUUACUGUGGCCCAAAUUGAUUUCAUGCCUCUAUUAUGUCAGAAGAAGACCUUUACAUGAGGGAAGAAGUUUUGUACCCCACUCGCAGUGGUGGAAAGGUGUUCUGCAAUGCCGCGACGCCUUCAAAUGCGGUUUAUCUUUUGAGCUUGGCGAUGGUCGGAACAUCAGGUUGUGGUCCGAUAUUUGGAUUGGUGAAACAUCUUUGAGCACCUUGUUUCCAGACAUCUACGCUCAAAUCGCGAACAAGAAAGCUCGGAUAUCUCAAUGCUGGAACCAUAAUGGAUGGAGAUGGCGUUUUAUCACUAGAGGCUUCGCGGCGCCCCGAUUGGCCCACAGUGGUAGACAGCUGCAAUUACUCAAAGACACACUUACAAGCAGACACCCGUGCAGCAGAGAAGACUCGUUUCGAUGGCGAUGGACCACCAAUCACCUGUUUUCGGUUAAAUCCCACUACCAGUUCAUCACAGAUGGGGGAUGUAGAGAUCGGUGGAAUCAACAUAUCUGGACCUUGAAGAUUCCAACCAAAAUUAGGAUCUUCAUCUGGACGUUGCUUCGAAAGAGACUUCUCACUUCCGACAGGCUGCUCACCAGAGGCAUGUCCGUAAAUCCGCUUUGUGUGCUAUGCGGGGUUCUCCCAGAAAGCUCUGAUCAUCUUUUCGCUAACUGCAUCUUUGUUCGCUUCCUUCUACUCUCUACUGGGGACCUCGAUGCACUUCUUGACACCACAGGAGCAGUGUGCAAUCUUUGGGCAAAAGUAUCGGAAACUACAAACGACGUGUUGAAACUUAAAGGCUUAACUCAUCUGGCGGCAACCUGGUGGGUCGUUUGGUCAGAUAGAAACUCGGCCAUCUUUCGGGACGCACCCCCAAACGCAGUCCACUCGGCGGGACGUAUCAACAGUUUGAUUCGAGACUGGAGUAUACUAACCUAACCUAACUCUUGUACUAGCUUACUUUGUUUCUUUUCUUCUUUUUUCUUUAUCUCUGUUUUCUCCUUUUGCCGUUUUCGGAGGCCGUCGUUGCUUCCACCCUGUACGCUUAAUUCAUCCCACUUUAUGAAUGAAGCAGGUAGCUCGCUACCUUUUUCUCAAAAAAAACAAUUGCAGAAAUUAACCUUUAGCAAGAGAUAAGUUUACCUCUCUAAUCAUGUUUUCUGCAUCAGAGAUAAUUGUUAAAGCUUCCAUAUUAUUUUAUAUAUAUAUAUAUAAAAUAAUAAAAAUUUAGAAAAAAUAUUUUUCAACUAUAUGCAAGCAAAAAAAUUUCUUAUGGCUAUAGCAUUUUCUACUGCAUCAAAUCAAAUAAGAUGCGUAUAGUUAUAAUUGCUGUAUUUGAACUGUAUGCAUCGAUCUUUAGUUAUACUGCAUCUCAUUCAACCAAACAAAAAAAACACUUAAGUUGCAAGUUAUACUAUUUGAUUCCAAUAUAAAUAUAAUGGUAGGAAAUAAAUUAAAGAAAUAACAAUAGAGAUCCGUUGGGAUUUAAUCUCCUACUCUAACAAUGUGAUCAAUUAAUCGUAUAAAGUAAUAAUUUAUAUCUAAGAACUUAUACUGCUAUAUUCAACAUGGAUAUGCACUAGUGAUUUGAGAAAUAUGGUUACCUCAUAACUAAGGGCUCGAGAAAGAGAUAGAGGAACUACCUGGGCCCUUGUUUCACUUGGAAGAGCUUGGGUGGCUUAAAUAGGAGAAACUAAAACUAUUUUUUUUUUUUGAUUAAACAGGGAUGAACCCUAUUUUACAGAGGGAGGAUCAGAAGAGAACAAGGUGCAUCCUAGAAACUAAAACUAUUAGGAUCAUGAUACCCUGGAAUAUUCCAUUUUUCCCUAGUUCUCACCUCCACCCAAAAAAUACAAAAGGUAAUUAAUGAGAAACAAGAAGAGCUAGCUUAAUUAAUGAGACAAACGUCCACUUGCAGUAUAGUUUAAGGUUUCAAAUUAUUUUAUUUUAUCCUCCAAGUUGCAUGGUGGAAAAAAUUUUUAAUGAUAAAUGCCGGAGACUAAGACGACUAGUCACGAAAUUAAUGCUUACUUUAAAUUGGCAUAGAAAAUGCAUGUGUUAAAUUCUUGAAUAGAAAAAGAACAUUGGGACAGCAUCCAAUGUUCUAUAAUGUGAAAUAAUAAUUAGUGUUCUGUAAUUAAAGAGCUAAUAAUGUCACAGGCCCAAGUGCUACUAGAAUCAUAUUCCAAGGUGUAAUUAGGUUCUUAAUCUCUUUUGCUUGAAAACUUAAUUGAAGUAAUUAGAAGGUUAGGUACUCAAUUGAAAAUCCGAAAAAAUAUCAAAUACAUAUCUAGUUGCAAUAAGUGAAAUCAUAUUUAAUGUCGAAUAAUGUGAAAAGAAUAUUUUUCUCUAAAAAGCGUAAGUUACUAAUUAAGAACGACUCACCGGGAAAAUAUUAGAGAUCAAUCUCCUACGUAAUUUACCUUCGUGUUUAAUCUCUCUCGAGGGAAUUCAUAUACUUGUGCAUAAAAUCCUGCAAAUCCACUAUUCUAUGCGUAGCCUUAUCAUACUGAUGUUGGAAUAAUGUCCUCUUUUGGUCCUCUUUAUUUAAUCUGGUUAUAGGUCUUCUUUAUUUAAUCUGCUUAUAUAUAACCGGAGAAAGCAAAAGCGUCCAUGAAUGAUAACAUGUGCUAAUCAGCAGUCUUAUCCACAAAGGUCUAAGUGGGUAGCAGUAGUGGAAAGUCAUCUUUGGGCACUAAGGCCUCGAAAAUCAAUGCAGAGACAAAUUUAUCCAGCUAGUAAAACGCUCUAAUAGUUCAACAGAGAAUGAAAAAAUAAUUUUAAUUAUAAUAUAUGAGACUUAUAUGUUAGUAACAGUAAUUAGAUUUAAAUAUUUUGGACCGGUAGUUAUAUGAGCCCAACGAGUUAUUGUUGCUAACAGUUCGGAUCGUUUUGAACUCAUAUGAGCUAUUUCUAUAAUCUCACAUUAAUCUAAUAUUGCCUGAUAAUUCUAUUCUAUUUUAUAUCUAUUUUAUUCUAUUUCGAAUCGAUGGUUUGAGCCGAAUAAAGUAUUAUCGCUAGCGGUUCGGAUCGUUGUAUAUCUAUCCUUUUUAUUUUUUGGCAUAGACUGAUUAAUUGGUUCUUCCACUGGGUAGCUCCUAGUACUGCCGGCUUCCGAAAUUGAGUCGGAUGCGCGGCUGCAUGCGACUGGUGGAACUGAAACCACCUCUCCUGCCGUUACUUAAUUCCCUCUACCAACUCCGCACCUCUCUUGCCCUUACUUCCCUCUACCAACUCCGCCCUCCAAUGGACGGAUACAUAUUAUAUACUUGACCAUAUCCGAACGCUUCUUCGGUGAGCGUGCGUGCGCAAAGAGUCCGCGCGCGUGCAUGUGCCACCGCCCCCAUAAAAAUACUACCACUUGGUGUGAGAAUCUAUGGAAAUACUCGCCCGGUGUGUAGUAGUAUAUGUAUUUCGUACACACUACCUCUAAAAUUAAAAUCUUCUCAUGAAAUCCUCACAUCUAUUGAAAAGUGAUGUGGUAGUAUAUCUUGAUAUAUUUAUUCCAAUUAGCAUAUUUAGCAAUUACUAUUUUACGUUGAUGUUCCCAGCUAAAUUUUGGAUGAUGCCGAAUACGGUUCACUAUAUGAUAUUCACGUGCGUAAAAAUUAAAACGCUCGUACAAAUGUUUAUCUUCGUAUUUCAAGCGUGUUGCUUUAUUGAACCUGGCCACUAUGUCACGCCAAGAAUCAUUUUCAAAGUCUAGACUUUCUGUCCCUCCAUUUUGAAUUUUCUCUACCAACAAACCAAGCAAUAUUUUAUCAUGCUCUUUUUCUCAGAUUGCUAAAGGCCGAUCUAUUAUUAUAAUUCUUUUUCUUUUUCAAAUUAUAUUUGGCCUCUCUCUUCUGUAAAUGCAAGUGAAUCAAAAGCCAUAUAAUUUAAGAAUUUAAUUUACUACCCAAGAAAUAAAGACAAUUCUGAACUUAAGGCCAAAAAUAUAUAUAUAUCAAGGAGAAUAAACAAAGGCAUGGGUAAAGAUAGUACAGUAGCAACGAUAAUAAACGAACGAGAUAUAUAUAUAUAAANUUUAAAAUUUUUCUUAUAUGAAAUGCCAAAUUAUAAAAGGAAAGAUAGAGAGAGAAAAAGAAAACAAAGAAAAAAUAAAAAUUUUGAAAAUAUAGUAGAUGUAAAAUGACUAAAUUGUCUAUGUAUUAAAAGACAAAAAUAUUCUUUUUUGAGGUACCUGGUAACCGGUACCUCGUCCAAAGUGACUUGCUAUUGCAGGUCACAAUUUUAAAAAAACUAAAUCUAAGCCGUUAAAUACGCGUGAAUGAACGGUAACCAAAAAAAAAAAGUAUAGAAGCAUUACUCAUGUGUUAAAUUCUUGAAUAGAAAAAGAACUACACUGGGACAGCAUCCAAUGUUAAGUAAUGUGAAAUAAUUAAAAAAAAUUUUUAAUUAAAGAGCCAAAGCUGUCGCAGGCCCAAUGCUAUUAGGAUCAUACCCUCGAAUAUUCCAAGGCGUAAUUAGGUUCCUUAAUCUCUUUUGCUUGAAAACUUAAUUGAAGUAAUAAUUAGAAGUUUAGGGACUCAAUUAAAACUCCGAUGAAAACAAAUCAAAUAUCUAGUUGCAAACAAGUGAAACCAUAUUUAAUGUCGAAUAAUAUGAAAAAAAUAUUUUUCUCCAAAAGCGCAAGUUACUAAGAACGAUGUUACUCGUGAAAGGUCAAAUAUCCAAUUGCGAGCCAAUUGCAAUAAUUAGAUGGCUAGCGACGCACCGGAAAAAUAUUAGAGAUCUCCUACGUAAUUUACCUUCAUGUUUAAUCUCCCUCCAGGGAAUUCAUAUACCUGUGCAUAAAAUCCUGCAAAUCAACUAUUCUAUGCGUAGCCUUAUCAUACUGCUGUUGGAAUAAUUAAUGACCACUUUUGGUCUUCUUUAUUUAAUCUGCUUAUUCCAUGAAUGAUAACAUCUCCUAGUCAGCGGUCUUAUCCACAAAGGUCUCAGGGUGUAGCAGUGGAAAGUCAUCUUUGGGCACUAAGGUCUCAAUAAUCAAUGCAGAGACAAAUUUAUCCAGUACAAUGCUCGAAUAGUUUAACACGAAUGAAAAAAAUAAUUUUAAUUAUAAUAAAUGAGACCUACCUAUUAGUAAUAAUAAUUAGACUUAAACAUUUUGCACCGAUAGUUUGGGCCCAAUGAAUUAUUAUUACUAACGGUUCGGAUCAUUUUGAAUCCGUAUGAGUCACCUCUAGAAUCUCAUAUAAAUCUAACGUCAUCUGAUAAUUCUAUUCUAUUUUGUAUCUAUUUUAUUUUGUUUCGAACCAAUAAUUUGAGCCGAAUAAAGUAUUAUUGGUAACGAUUCGGAUCGUUGUAUGUCCAUUCUCCCACUGGGUAUCUCCUGCUGCUGGCUUCCCAAAUUGAGUGGGAUGCGCGGCUGCAUGUGCAACUGAAACCAUGCACCUCUCCUGCCCUUACUUCCCUAUGCCAAAUCCGCCGUCCAUUCGACGGAUAUAUUUGGCCAUAUCCGAACGCUUCUUCGGUGAGCGCGCUCCCGUACGAGUUCGGCACCGCCCCCAUAAAAAAACUACCAUUUGGUGUGAGAAUCUUUGGAAAUACUCGCCGGGUGUAUAGUACAGUAUAUGUAUUUCGAACACCCUACCUAAUUCAUAAAUUUUGAUAUCAAAUAAUCAUGAAUUGAGAUUGGCAAAUUAUAUCUUCAAUAGUUAUAACAUCAAGUUCACAUUCACAUACACAAACAUCAAGUAGGAAAAUUGAAAUAUUAACACGUUAUAUUAUUGUAGAAGAUAACUAUUGCAAGGAGAAGGGACAUUCAAACCUGCCUCACAGUGGUGAAAAAAAUAGUGAGUCAAGUAUUACAAUCCACAACAACUAAGAGAGAGAGAGAGAGAGAGAGAGAGAGAGAGAGAGAGAGAGAGAGAUACGGUACAGAAAAAAUAGUGAGAAGAGGGAGUAUAUUAGAGAGGAUGUAGUGAAAAAGAAGAAGCAGAAUAGUCAUGAUGUUUCAAUAAUUUCACAUUGGAUUAAAAAAAAAAUUGCAUACAAAUCUCACAUUAUGUGUAAUUUAAUAAUUGCUCCGACAAGAACGUAGUUUAGGGGACCGGGAGGUCCCUGCCCUCCUCCUCCAUCACCCUUAUCUCUCUCUCCUGCCCAUCCCCACUGUUCCCCCCAUUUUUUUAACUUCCAGUCCACAGUCUUAUCUCUCUCCUACCCAUCCCCACGGUUUCCCCCUUUUUUUUAACUUUCAGCCCACAGUAUGUUAGGAUAAACUCAUAUUCAACUUUUGUAAAUAUAGAUGUCAAAAUUUAGCAUCUAAUAUAUAUAUAUAUAUAUAUAUAUAUAUAUGAGUAAUACUUCAAUACAUCAUAUAGAUGUUGACCAUUUAGUUUUCUUAAUAGAUGGUUUAGAUUUAAUGUGAUUCUAGAGGUGACUUGCUAUUGAAGUAUAGGUACCAUUCACAAGGUACCUAUUUAAAGAGUAUUUUAGUCUUUGUAAAAUAAUUUGGUCUACAAAACCAGUUUUAUUUAACUAAAAAUAUUGUGACCCUCUUAAAUACCUACAACAAUAGUUGAAUUUCAAAUUACAACAAAACUGUAAAUUUAAAUUCAAAACAACAUUUUAAACUUUAUAAAUUAAAUUUAAUUUUUUUAAAUAUAAAACACAGAUUUAAAAUAAAAAUUUUAGUUCCAAUUCAAAAUUUCAAUUUAAAUCAAAAAUUAAAAUUUGGCUUCAAGAUUAAAAGUUCAAUUUAGAUUCAAAUUUAAAAGUUUAGUAUAAAUUUCAAAAUUAAAAUUUUACAUUACAAUACCAAUUUCAAAAAUUAAAUUUAAAUUCAAUAUUUUUUUGAGCUGAAUACUUAACAAAUUAGGUAUCAUCUAAUUUGGUAAGUUAUCAAAAUAAAUAAAAUAUUUAAUAUUUAAAGAAUGCUGACAAAUUUAGUAUAUAGUAAUUUUUUUUUCUAAUAUUGUCAUGUUAACUAAUUCAAAUCGGUAACCUGUUCAACAGGUUACUUCACGUAAAUCCCAACUACACCCUUUACUAAUUAAGAGAUUAAAUUUUAAUAUUUAUGGUGUAUAGAAGCAUUCCUUUAUAUGAGCUAGGCUGGUAUACUAUCGGUAGCACGGAGGCCUCCGUGCUACCAAGUUGUUUUCAAUGAUGCGGCUUCCAAAUUGACGAUCGGCUUCGUUAGACUUGAUAUACACUAUUGAAAGCAUUUGGAAACUAAAUUUUGUAAUUUUUCGAUAUCAUUUGGCUAGUGAUCAAAAGUCUCAAAAUUUAUAAUUUUAAUGGUAAAUUUGAUGCGUUUGUGAAUUCAAUGGUGUAAAACAAUCCAAAUUUGAUGAAAUUUUUAUAGAAAAUUCUUUUCAGUAUUUAGAAUAAGAUCAGUAUCUUUAAUUUUAAAUUCAAGUCUUUUAUAAUCAUUUUUUAUGAGAUUUUCAUUUUCAGCCGUUUAUUUUUAGACUACUCGUUUGAUUGGUAAAUGACGCCGAAAAAUUAUGAAAUUUAGUUUUCAAAUACUUUCAAUAGUGUAGAUUAAGUCUAACGGAACCGAUCGUCGAUUUAUAAGCCGCAUCAUUGAAAACAACUGGGUAGCACGGAGACAUCCGUACUACCGAUAGUAUACCUGCCUAGCUCUAUAUAUAUAUAUAUAUAUAGAUGGUAGCUAAUAACAUAAUCAUAAAAGGACCAUCGGAUAAAAUCAACCAAAUAGUAUAUUCUAAGAUGAUGCACAGUUGAAUCCAUGAGAAUUGACACUCGAUAUAAUUGAAAUAAUUCCCAUGUACGUUUACUUUGUGUGCAUAAUAGUCGAGUAACACAUUAUUCUUGUCAAAUAAUUGUUUGCUUUAUUACAAUGCAUAUGAAGAGUUUGUAGAUGACAAUGAACAAAAUAUAUAUAUGAAAAUAUAGUAUUGUUGUUCUCCUCCUAAAAGCUCUGCUUCGGGUUCUACCUGCGCGAAUGCCAAAAAAGUUUGAAUCGAUUCAAGCAUCAAAAAUGAUAGUAUUUGAUAAAUAAUAAUAAUAAUAAUAAUAAAAAUAAAAAAUACGGUUAGUAUACCUCGAUAUAUCGAUUCUAUUCAUCAUCUUUAGCAUUUACUACAAGACGUCGAUAAUCCCACCUAUGUAUUGGCUGUUGCUCCAUGUCAUUCACCAUUUCAUAUUCAGCCGUAAUCUUCGACUUCAUAAUUCGAUGUUGUUGUCUUGCUGAAUCUAGCCAAUAUGUUACGCAAAGCAUCCAUUUUAAAACCUUGUCCGGAGAGUCUCUCCCGCCAUCAUGCACAUGUUUUACCAUCAAAUCAAGCAGCGUUUUGGGGUAGUUCUUNAUUGCAUGCACAAUGAUCUCCAUCUCAUUGGCAAAGUCAAGUUCCACAAUGGAGUCCAGCAGCUCUACACAAUCCCUCUCCACCAGCUCUAUAUGGACACAUUGUGUUCUUCAGAUAAUCACAUUCAAUUUAGAACAUCUAAUGACUCAACUGUGAAAUUAUUGCAGAAGCAUGAAUUAUAAGCUUACACUACAAUCUAAUAGUAGAUGCUAAUACAACACAAAUUUAAACAGAUAAGAAGUUGCAAGUGAAAAAUACAGCAUAACAAUGUUUGUCUCAGUCACGAGACAAGAUUAUUGUGAAAUUGUUGAGAUCUCCUAGGUAGAGAAUGAAGAGAUUACAACACUGUUUUUAUUUCAAGAGAGUCACUCAUUGGAAAUCACGACAUUUUAUUUUUUUUUCUCGACAAACACAAUUUCAUAUAAAUUAAUAUGCGGUACUGCUCUCCUUCGAUAGGGCUUCGCACUGGGAUUUCCCUGUGAAAAAGGAGAAAGGUUUGAAUAAAUUGGAACUAAGUACUAAACACUUCGAAAAGCAAUGUGGUAGUAUAUAUACCUCAAUAUAUUUAUUCCAUUUAGCAUCUGUGGCAAUUACUACUUGACGUUGAUGAUCCCAGCUAAACUCUGGAUGAUGCUUGAUGUUGUGCACUAUUCCAUAUUCACGUUCAUAAUAACUGAAGCGAUCAUGUAAAUGUUUGUCUUCAUAUUUCAUGCCUGUUGCUUCAUUGAACUUGGCUACUACAUCACGCCAGGAAUUAUUUUUAAAGUCUAGUAUUUUUCUCCCUCUUGAUUGAAUUUGCUUUACCAAUAAAUCAAGCAGUACUUGAUCAUGCGCUUUUUCCCAUAUUGCUGAAGGCCGACCCGUUAUUUUAAUCUUUUUUCUUCCCAAAAUUUCUUUUGGCCACUGUCUCCUGUAAGUACAAACUAGUAAAUAAAAGGGAUACCACAAUGUAUAAUUUUAAGAAUUUUACUGCCCAUGAAAAAAAAAAACAUUCUAAUCCUAAGGGGAAAAAAAAAUUAUAACCAUUAUCACUGUAUAUCAUAUAACUAUUCAUAUAGCUUUAACUAAUAAUUUUUUUUUUUUUUUUUUUUUUUGACUUUUCAAAUUACGCACGUACCAUGAUAUAUUGACAAGGAUCAGACUAAAACGGAAUGAGCUAUUCCUAUUUUACUUUUGUGGUGUAAUUAAUCAUGACCGUUGAUUCAAGGAACUCACUUCAUUAAUUGGACUUGUAUUGGAAUCGCUUCAUUUAAUAAAAUCCACCCAAAACCAGAGAAAUCAAUUCAAAUCAUGGCCUAGUUAAGAUUCCAAAAAAAAAAAGAAAAAAAGAGAAAAAAAAUCAAUAAAAAAUGAAUUGUAAUUCAAGAAUUAAUAUAGAUACUCUACGUAGAAAAUUAACAGUGGGAAUUUACACAAAGCAACCUAUAUUCCCGCUAUUAACACAUCCAAUUAGAAAUGAAAGAAAAAAAAUUCAAAGGACUGAGAAAAAACAAGCUACUUACUCAUCACUGUCGCUACGGGCUCCCCCUUGUAUGCACUCAAGUUGAAGGAUGGACCCAUUCUGGAUUCCGUAGUGGGCCAAUGAUCUCUCUAUCUCCAUCAGUGGACUGCCAUUGAAAUCAAGAUCAAUAUCCCACAAUCCCGACUGUAGCACCUCAUGAGGAACAAGAGUGAUUAACACAUCCUCGAUGGUGUGGGAUUUUUCCACCUCAAGCACAAAAUUUCCGUAAUUUUCUGACCGCACAAAGAUUUUCAUUUCACCACCGCCGUUGGGUCUCCUGGAAGGGCCGGGGAUUGCAUUUCCCGUCUUGGCUAUUACUUUAGAACUAGCAAAGUUGCACAUGUAAUGGACGUUAGCUUAUUUAAUUGUGGUAUGUAAAUUCAAAUUUAAUAUUUAAUUUGAUAUAUUUGAAUCUAAUCGUUAAUUGCAGUUGAAACUGCAUGAAGAAACCCAACUGUACGUAAUAGUUGAAAGUAUCUCCAAAUUGGCUAUCGUACCAACUGUACCAAUUGUAACAAUUGCAGAUAUUAACCUUUCGCAAGAGGUAAGUUUACCAGAUCUCUAAUCAGUUUUUUAACAGAAAAAUAUUUUUGUUUUCUACAUCUGAGAUAAUUUUACCACUAUAUAAUAAUAAUAAUAAUAAUAAUAAUAAUAAUAAUAAUUUAGAAAAAUAUUUUUCAACUAUAUGCAAGCAAAUAAAUUAUUUAUAACUAUAGCAUUUUCUACUGCAUUAAAUCAAAUACGAUGCGUAUAGUUAUAAUUGCUGCAUUUGAACUGCAUGCGUCCAUCUUUAGCUAUGCUGCAUCUCAUUCAACCAAACAAAAAACACAUUUAAAAGUUACAUGUCACCUUAUUUGAUUCCAAUAUGUAUGUGGUAGGAAACGAAAUGACACUAGAGAUCUGCUAGGAUUCGAUCUCCUAUUCUAACAAUGUGAUUAAUAGUAUAAAGUAAUAAUUUAUAUCUAAGAACUUAAACUGCUAUAUUCAACAAGGAUAAGCACUAGUGAUUUGAGAAAAACAUCGUACCUCAUAACUAAGGAAGAAAGAGAGAGAGAGAGAAACUACUUGGACCUUGUUUCAACUUUGGAAGAUUGGGUGGCUUAAAUAGAAGAAACUAAAACUUUUACCUGUAUAUAUAAAACCUUCCCUAGUUUCCAUUUUACCCCAGUUCUCACCCCCACCCAAAAAAUUCAGAAGGUAACUAAGAGACAAGCGUCAAUUUGCAGUCAAGUUGAAGGUUUCAAAUUUUUUUAUCCUCCAACGACGUGGUGGAAAAUUUUUAAUGAUAUAUGGCGUACGUAGACUAUUGACGACUAGUCACGAAAUUAAUGCAUACUUUAUUUAAAUUGGCGUAGAAAAUGUGUUAAAUUCUUGACUAGAAAAAGAACUACACUGGGACAGCAUCCAAUGUUAAGUAAUGUGAAAUAAUUAAAAAAAAUUUUUAAUUAAAGAGCCAAAGCUGUCGCAGGCCCAAUGCUAUUAGGAUCAUACCCUCGAAUAUUCCAAGGCGUAAUUAGGUUCCUUAAUCUCUUUUGCUUGAAAACUUAAUUGAAGUAAUAAUUAGAAGUUUAGGGACUCAAUUAAAACUCCGAUGAAAACAAAUCAAAUAUCUAGUUGCAAACAAGUGAAACCAUAUUUAAUGUCGAAUAAUGUGAAAAAAAUAUUUUUCUCCAAAAGCGCAAGUUACUAAGAACGAUGUUACUCGUGAAAGGUCAAAUAUCCAAUUGCGAGCCAAUUGCAAUAAUUAGAUGGCUAGCGACGCACCGGAAAAAUAUUAGAGAUCUCCUACGUAAUUUACCUUCAUGUUUAAUCUCCCUCCAGGGAAUUCAUAUACCUGUGCAUAAAAUCCUGCAAAUCAACUAUUCUAUGCGUAGCCUUAUCAUACUGCUGUUGGAAUAAUUAAUGACCACUUUUGGUCUUCUUUAUUUAAUCUGCUUAUUCCAUGAAUGAUAACAUCUCCUAGUCAGCGGUCUUAUCCACAAAGGUCUCAGGGUGUAGCAGUGGAAAGUCAUCUUUGGGCACUAAGGUCUCAAUAAUCAAUGCAGAGACAAAUUUAUCCAGUACAAUGCUCGAAUAGUUUAACACGAAUGAAAAAAAUAAUUUUAAUUAUAAUAAAUGAGACCUACCUAUUAGUAAUAAUAAUUAGACUUAAACAUUUUGCACCGAUAGUUUGGGCCCAAUGAAUUAUUAUUACUAACGGUUCGGAUCAUUUUGAAUCCGUAUGAGUCACCUCUAGAAUCUCAUAUAAAUCUAACGUCAUCUGAUAAUUCUAUUCUAUUUUGUAUCUAUUUUAUUUUGUUUCGAACCGAUAAUUUGAGCCGAAUAAAGUAUUAUUGGUAACGAUUCGGAUCGUUGUGUGUCCAUUCUCCCACUGGGUAUCUCCUGCUGCUGGCUUCCCAAAUUGAGUGGGAUGCGCGGCUGCAUGUGCAACUGAAACCAUGCACCUCUCCUGCCCUUACUUCCCUAUGCCAAAUCCGCCGUCCAUUCGACGGAUAUAUUUGGCCAUAUCCGAACGCUUCUUCGGUGAGCGCGCUCCCGUACGAGUUCGGCACCGCCCCCAUAAAAAAACUACCAUUUGGUGUGAGAAUCUUUGGAAAUACUCGCCGGGUGUAUAGUACAGUAUAUGUAUUUCGAACACCCUACCUAAUUCAUAAAUUUUGAUAUCAAAUAAUCAUGAAUUGAGAUUGGCAAAUUAUAUCUUCAAUAGUUAUAACAUCAAGUUCACAUUCACAUACACAAACAUCAAGUAGGAAAAUUGAAAUAUUAACACGUUAUAUUAUUGUAGAAGAUAACUAUUGCAAGGAGAAGGGACAUUCAAACCUGCCUCACAGUGGUGAAAAAAAUAGUGAGUCAAGUAUUACAAUCCACAACAACUAAGAGAGAGAGAGAGAGAGAGAGAGAGAGAGAGAGAGAGAGAGAGAGAGAUACGGUACAGAAAAAAUAGUGAGAAGAGGGAGUAUAUUAGAGAGGAUGUAGUGAAAAAGAAGAAGCAGAAUAGUCAUGAUGUUUCAAUAAUUUCACAUUGGAUUAAAAAAAAAAUUGCAUACAAAUCUCACAUUAUGUGUAAUUUAAUAAUUGCUCCGACAAGAACGUAGUUUAGGGGACCGGGAGGUCCCUGCCCUCCUCCUCCAUCACCCUUAUCUCUCUCUCCUGCCCAUCCCCACUGUUCCCCCCAUUUUUUUAACUUCCAGUCCACAGUCUUAUCUCUCUCCUACCCAUCCCCACGGUUUCCCCCUUUUUUUUAACUUUCAGCCCACAGUAUGUUAGGAUAAACUCAUAUUCAACUUUUGUAAAUAUAGAUGUCAAAAUUUAGCAUCUAAUAUAUAUAUAUGUAUAUAUAUAUGAGUAAUACUUCAAUACAUCAUAUAGAUGUUGACCAUUUAGUUUUCUUAAUAGAUGGUUUAGAUUUAAUGUGAUUCUAGAGGUGACUUGCUAUUGAAGUAUAGGUACCAUUCACAAGGUACCUAUUUAAAGAGUAUUUUAGUCUUUGUAAAAUAAUUUGGUCUACAAAACCAGUUUUAUUUAACUAAAAAUAUUGUGACCCUCUUAAAUACCUACAACAAUAGUUGAAUUUCAAAUUACAACAAAACUGUAAAUUUAAAUUCAAAACAACAUUUUAAACUUUAUAAAUUAAAUUUAAUUUUUUUAAAUAUAAAACACAGAUUUAAAAUAAAAAUUUUAGUUCCAAUUCAAAAUUUCAAUUUAAAUCAAAAAUUAAAAUUUGGCUUCAAGAUUAAAAGUUCAAUUUAGAUUCAAAUUUAAAAGUUUAGUAUAAAUUUCAAAAUUAAAAUUUUACAUUACAAUACCAAUUUCAAAAAUUAAAUUUAAAUUCAAUAUUUUUUUGAGCUGAAUACUUAACAAAUUAGGUAUCAUCUAAUUUGGUAAGUUAUCAAAAUAAAUAAGAUAUUUAAUAUUUAAAGAAUGCUGACAAAUUUAGUAUAUACUAUUUUUUUUUUCUAAUAUUGUCAUAUUAACUAAUUCAAAUCGGUAACCUGUUCAACUGGUUACUUCAUGUAAAUCCCAACUACACCCUUUACUAAUUAAGAGAUUAAAUUUUAAUAUUUAUGGUGUAUAGAAGCAUUCCUUUAUACACUACAAGAAGUUUAACUUUUAGCAAAAUUUAACUAGUAACAUUUCACUAAGUGACAAAAAUUAUAAUAUUUAGCAAUAUUUAUUUAUUAGUGUUGCUAAAUGUACUUAUUUACCAAUAUUUAGGUGUAAAUGUUGCUAUAUAUAAAUAACACCAACACUAAGAAUUAAAUGUUACAAUGUUUAGCAACACUUUUUUUGAUAAAUGACAAUUAGUUUUUCAAAUUUUGAAAAGCCCUUCAAAAUUUUAAAAUUUCAUCUUUCCCUCCUUUAGUGAUAUUUUUUUCCAUCUCUCUUUCAUUUCUUUGUCUCUUCACUUUAAACUCUCAAGAGAUUUUUUUACUCUCAUGGUUUCUUCUUUUAUUCCUUCAUUCCACAAAGUCUUUCUCACCAAUUUUUUUAUUUUGUAAGAUUGGAGGAAAAAACAUUGGAUCGGACUAUCAAUUUUGUUUCCAGAGAUAAGUAAGUAUCCCUUUCUUGUAAGGUAAAACAAUUUCAUAUUAAUUCCAAAUCAAAAUCAUAGAUUUGAAAUUUUCUUUUCUUUUUUUCUUAACUAAUAAAGUUUAUUAUGACUAGAAUAGGAUUACUCUUCAACCUUUUGGUUCGUCGUUACAUUAAUUUAUUGUAUUAUGUGGUAUGAUAUAUAUGAGGUUUUUGUUUCUUAACUUUCAUCAACCUUUUUUUUUAUAUUUUUUACUUUUAGAUAUUAAAUUUGUUCUUAUUACAUUACUAUCAUUUUAAUUUAAUUUUUUUAUUUUUUUAGAAAAUAUCAUUUAUUUUGAAAAUGUUCGAACAAAUAUAUGAUCUUUUAUAAUUUGAUAAGGGCAAUAUAUUUUAUCUUUUAGUAGUUCAUAGUAUCCUAUAUUUUAUGAUAAAUUUCUUAAAUCUUUUCAUUUUACAUGUUAAGCAAUUAAAUAGAGGCUACAAGAUUGUUUCAUUCAAGCAUUUUGGAGACUUCUACAACAAAUAAGGAUGACUAAUUUUUUAUUUUAUCGUGAUCGAAUUUGUAAUUAUGAGGAAACUCAUUUAGUUUUGUAUCAAAUGUGUUAUUUGAUUUGUAAUAUAUUACAAGUUUUGAUUGUCAUAUGAUAUACAUGAGAUUUUUAGUGUUUAUGGUUGUUGUCCAUUUUGACUAUCAAUGGAGUAAACAACUUGUGAGUACUAUAGAACUAUAGAAUUUCUUAUUAUAGUUAUAAUUAUUUUUUAAAAUAUAUUAGAUUAUUACCGAUUAAUCAUAAAUUUUUUAAAUAAUAAUUAUUUAAUGUUAAUAUAAUAUAUAUUUUUACCAAUAAUUCAAAAUGCUAUUAUACGUAAUUGUUUAGUAAUAUUUGAUUAUUAUUAACUAUGAUUAUAAUAAUUAAUCAAAAAUUAAUAAUAUUUUAAUUUAAUUAAUAUCAAAAUUUAUAAUUAAUAAAAUAUUUUUAUUUAAUUCAAAAAAUAAUAGCUAAAUUAAUACAAGAAUUAAUUAAACAAUAUGCACCACCAUUUAAAAGUUGCCCCAUUAAAUUUUUUUUUUUUUAGCAACUUUUGUUAACUGUUGCUAAUUCUUGAGCAUUAGCAACACUCUCUCCAAAUGUUGCUAAAAGAUUAAACAUCACGGGCAUAGACAACACUAAAAGUUAAGUGUUGCUAAAAGAUUUAGUUACAUUUCUUAUUCAUUUAGCAACAUCUAUAAAUGUCACUAAAUCUAAACUUUCUUGUAGUGAUAUGAGCUAGGCUGGUAUACUAUCGGUAGCACGGAGGCCUCCGUGCUACCAAGUUGUUUUCAAUGAUGCGGCUUCCAAAUUGACGAUCGGCUUCAUUAGACUUGAUAUACACUAUUGAAAGCAUUUGGAAACUAAAUUUUGUAAUUUUUCGAUAUCAUUUGGCUAGUGAUCAAAAGUCUCAAAAUUUAUAAUUUUAAUGGUAAAUUUGAUGCGUUUGUGAAUUCAAUGGUGUAAAACAAUCCAAAUUUGAUGAAAUUUUUAUAGAAAAUUCUUUUCAGUAUUUAGAAUAAGAUCAGUAUCUUUAAUUUUAAAUUCAAGUCUUUUAUAAUCAUUUUUUAUGAGAUUUUUAUUUUCAGCCGUUCAUUUUUAGACUACUUGCUUAAUAGGUAAAUGAUACCGAAAAAUUAUAAAAUUUAGUUUUCAAAUACUUUCAAUAGUGUACAAUUCAAGAUCUACAGAGCCUGAUCGCCGAUUUGGAAGCCGCAUCAUUGAAAACAACUUGGUAGCACGGAGACCUCCGUGCUACGAUAGUAUACCAGCCUAACUCUAUAUUAUAUAUAAUAUAUAUAUAUAUCGUAUAUUAUUUAAAUUAAAAUAUUUAAUUAAAUAUGUUUUCCUUUUUUCAGAAAAUAUUAAUGUUAAUAUAAGUAAUAGAAAAAUAAAAUCUAAUUUAUAUUGAAUCUAAAUAUAUUUUCACCCUACCCACCAAAUAAAAAAAAAAAGCGGAAAACAAGUAUAGCGGCUAAUGAGUGAGCUAAUUAUAGGAACUCUAAGUUGCGGCGUGUUUUCGCGGUUUCAAUAAUUUUUUUAUCCUUCAACUCGGUGAAACGGAAUUUAAAGUGGUGCGCGACUGCGAUUGAUUAGUGCGUGCGCAAAUUAGGCAUACUUUAAGGUAUCGUUUGGUCAGGAUAAGCAAAAAGUGGCUAUUUCAGUGAUAGGUAUAAAUUGAGGUAUAUUGCGUUUGGAUGAAAAUUGGGUUAUUUCUGGUGAAUAAAAAAAUAGCGUUUUGUUAGGUAAGAUGGAAUAAGAAGAUAGUUGGUUUUUAUAAAUAAAAAUAAUGAUAUUAUCUUUAUUUAUAUUUGAAUUUAAUUUUUAAAUUUUUAAUUUUAAAUUUCAACUUUGAAAUUUUAAAAAUUAAAAUUUAAAAUCUCUAUUUUAAAUUCAAAAUUUUAAAUUUUAAAUUUCAAACUUUAAAUUUAAGAUCAAAUUUCAAUUUAAAAAUAUAAUAAUAUCAAAUUUUUAAUUCAAAUUUUUAAAUAUCAAAAAUUAAUUUAAAAUUUAUAAUUAUAUUUAUUUAAUUAUUAACUUUAUUUGAGAGAUUAUAAAUAUAUAUUUUAAAAUUUAAAUUUCAAAAUUUAAAUUUUAAAAUUUUAAAUAAGAAUAGGAGUGGAACAUUAAUAAAAAUAUUAUUAUAAUAAAUUAUAAUUUUUUUAAAAUUCUACUUAAACUUAAAUUUAAUAAAAAUAAUUUAUUAUAAUAUUCAAAUAUAAUUUAUUAUAAAUUUUAUUAUAAUAUUUAAAUAUAAAUAAUAUUUAUUAAUAUAGUACAAUUAAUAAUUGUAUAAUAAAAAUAAUGUAUUAUAAUAUAUAAGAUAUUAUAUUUAUAUAAUUUAGUUUUAAUUCAAUUUAUAAUUUUAAUUAAGUUUGAAAUUAAGCAUUGGAAUAGCAUUAUUCCACCAAAAUGGUGGAAUAGUAAAUCUCUUGUUAUUCCGGGAUAAUCGGGAAUAGCAAGGUUUGACCGGGAUAAAAUAUUCCGGCCAAAUUUCACCCCGUUUGGCGGAAUUGUGGGGAUAACUUUCGUUAUCCCCGCUUAUCCCCCGAACCAAACCGGGCCUAAGAGUUAAUUGCGUUAGAGUUACUUUAACUUUUGUGAUUUAAAAUUUUAUUUUAAUUAGAGGAGGCGCCGGAUACUCAAUAGUGUUACCAUAAUUAUAAAAAACUCCUUGACUGUACCUUCUGCCAGCCGAGGGUCCGGAUCCUCAAGCAAGGUCCGGACCCCCAACCUCAAUUUCGCGAUGUGCCCAGGCAUGAUCCGGACCCUCUCGCAAGGUCCGAACUCCUCAAAUUAAUUUCAGAAUUUUCACAGACAGGGUCCAAACCAUGCGUCAAGAUCCGGACCUUAAUGUUUGAGCUCAUAGAGAAAGAUCAAGAUCCAGGUCCUUAAGUCUAGAUUUGGAUACCGAGAGUACAAUAGCUCAGAAACACUUUUUCUAAAAAUUUUCAUUCCUUGGAUCUCCUAGUGACUUUAAAAAUCUUAGAUCAUACUUAAUAGUAUGAAUUAUUGAUUCAAAAGUUUUAUUAUUGAAAUAAGACUACAAUACAAAAAUUUUUGUGCUGUUAAUAGAACCCGAGCUAAACUUUAUGCUCGAAUCUUCAAAACUUUUGAGAGAAUUCACAUAUUCGAAAUCAGCUCAAAGAAGAAUUUUAAAAAUUCACCCAGUAAACGCAAGAAAUUAAUCAUUUUCUCAUAUGGACAAGCCUCUCUUCAAAUAAUAUCAACUAAAAAACAAACGAAUCCUUCAAAUAAUUAAGCCCCAUCAAAAUAAUUAACAAAUACUAAUUUAACCUGAAAACUUUAUAUAGAAUUUUUGAAGAGUGCCCCUAUAAUGGUGGGUACAAUAUUAUGUGAACUAUGGUAUGUACAAUAUAUUUAUAAUAUGAUUUGAUACAGCGACAUCCAUUUUGACAUAUAUAUAUAUAUAUAUAUAUAUAUAUAUAUAUAUAUAUAUAUAUAUAUAGAUAUAUAUAUANGUAUUUGGAAACUAAAUUUCAUAAUUUUUCGACAUCAUUUGGCUAGUGAUCAAAAGGUUCCAAAAUUAACAAUUUUAAUGGUAGAUAUGAUGCGUUUUUAAGUUCAACGGUGUAGAAGUAUCCAAAUUAGAUAAAAAUUUAAUAGAAAAUUCUACUUAACAUCAAUAGCAAGACCAAUACUUCCGAUUUGAAAUUUGAAUUCUUUAUUACUAUUUUUUAUGAGAUUUUCAUUUUCAGCCGUUUAUUUUUAGACUACUCGUUUGAUUGGUAAAUGACGCCGAAAAAUUAUGAAAUUUAGUUUUCAAAUACUUUCAAUAGUGUAGAUUAAGUCUAACGGAACCGAUCGUCGAUUUAUAAGCCGCAUCAUUGAAAACAACUGGGUAGCACGGAGACAUCCGUACUACCGAUAGUAUACCUGCCUAGCUCUAUAUAUAUAUAUAUAUAUAGAUGGUAGCUAAUAACAUAAUCAUAAAAGGACCAUCGGAUAAAAUCAACCAAAUAGUAUAUUCUAAGAUGAUGCACAGUUGAAUCCAUGAGAAUUGACACUCGAUAUAAUUGAAAUAAUUCUCAUGUACGUUUACUUUGUGUGCAUAAUAGUCGAGUAACACAUUAUUCUUGUCAAAUAAUUGUUUGCUUUAUUACAAUGCAUAUGAAGAGUUUGUAGAUGACAAUGAACAAAAUAUAUAUAUGAAAAUAUAGUAUUGUUGUUCUCCUCCAAAAAGCUCUGCUUCGGGUUCUACCUGCGCGAAUGCCAAAAAAGUUUGAAUCGAUUCAAGCAUCAAAAAUGAUAGUAUUUGAUAAAUAAUAAUAAUAAUAAUAAUAAAAAUAAAAAAUACGGUUAGUAUACCUCGAUAUAUCGAUUCUAUUCAUCAUCUUUAGCAUUUACUACAAGACGUCGAUAAUCCCACCUAUGUAUUGGCUGUUGCUCCAUGUCAUUCACCAUUUCAUAUUCAGUCGUAAUCUUCGACUUCAUAAUUCCAUGUUGUUGUCUUGCUGAAUCUAGCCAAUAUGUUACGCAAAGCAUCCAUUUUAAAACCUUGUCCGGAGAGUCUCUCCCGCCAUCAUGCACAUGUUUUACCAUCAAAUCAAGCAGCGUUUUGGGGUAGUUCUUCACCCAAAUUGCUAAAAGGUUGGUUUCCUCUUUCGAUAGUUCUCCUUUGUAGCACUAUUUUUUGUCAGCUCUCUAUUCGAUCUGCAGGUAAAUUAAAACAACAAUACCCUAGAAAUACUUUUAAAUUAAAAUGACAGAGAAUAAUGAUGAUUGAAAAUAGUAGAAAAUCGUAAUCAUAGAACAUAGUUGUGGACGACGUUUCGAUUGCAUGCACAAUGAUCUCCAUCUCACUGGCAAAGUCAAGUUCCACAACGGAGUCCGGCGGCUCUACACAAUCCAUCUCCACCAACUCU
rnacentral:lncRNA from 1 species